rnacentral:rRNA from 1 species
UGAGGAAUAUUGGUCAAUGGGGGCAACCCUGAACCAGCCAAGUCGCGUGAAGGAUGAAGGUCUUAUGGAUUGUAAACUUCUUUUACACGGGAAUAAAGCGGGGGACGUGUCCCUCUUCGCAUGUACCGUGUGAAUAAGGAUCGGCUAACUCCGUGCCAGCAGCCGCGGUAAUACGGAGGAUCCGAGCGUUAUCCGGAUUUAUUGGGUUUAAAGGGUGCGCAGGCGGGAUGUUAAGUCGGCGGUGAAAUUUUGCAGCUCAACUGUAAAAGUGCCUUCGAUACUGGCCUUCUUGAGUGUGGAUGAAGUAGGCGGAAUUUGUGGUGUAGCGGUGAAAUGCUUAGAUAUCACGAGGAACUCCUAUUGCGCAGGCAGCUUACUAAGCCACAACUGACGCUCAUGCACGAAGGCGUGGGGAUCAAACA